CUUCCCCGUGUCUCCUCCCGGGCUGCAGUGGACGGGCCUGGUCUACCCCUGUGUCCCCUCGAGAUGUAGUGGACGGGUCUGUCCUCCCAGAGUGCCCUCCUGGGAUGCAGUGGACGGGCCUGGCCUCCGCGGACCAUCUUCAGGAAUCUCUAGUCAACCUCCAGUACCUGAGAGCAGGGAAGAUGAGGAAGAGUGACAGGGUCAGGAUGAGGGGACCUGGGCAGAGGGCUGCCUUUGGUUGCAGCCUCAUAUUGUGCAUAUGAAGUGUUAUGAAGGAAAGCCUGUUCUCAGGCUGUUUCCUGCUCCCAGAAAUUUAUUUUAAAUAGGAAAUGCAGAAACUGGCAUUUAGUUCACCACCAGCCUGAGACUACAUAAUGAAUUCCAGGUACGUGAAGAAAGGAUGAGAGGAAGAAAACCAUUCCCGAGAUGAACUAGCUCCCUCCACCAUUGUAGCUGUUACUCUGGGAAUACAAACUCUGCUCUCAAACCCCGGGGCUGUGGCGGAGCACAAGCCUCCUGCCAGCCGUGAGCUCGCCCAUGGUCCUCAGCACCUCUGCCACGCACAUCCGGAGCUAGAACCAACACUGGGCCAUUGCUGCUUAUGAAAGAAGCUCUUAGGAAACACGCCAGAGGAAGAGGGGCAUGAAUCGCUGAAAAAGCAAUGGCAUGCUCAGCCUGUGCCACUGGACCACAGGUGUCCCAGGAUAACUAUGGACACAGCUCAGCACAUUUAUGGAUUACAUCUUGUUGCAAUAUGAAAAGGCUGGACACCUUUGAAUAUCUUGAUGGAUGCUUGUUUCUUUCCCCAUUUUGGCUGUUGACAUGGAGAACUCAAGCUGGAACUGAGCUGGAAGCUUCCUCCCUGCUGGCCAGCUUCAUGGUACCAGAGGGACUGUGCAGGCUGCUAGAGGUGGAAGUCAGCCACAGUCUUCCUCAGCUGUGGGCCCUGCACGUGGCAACACUGACCUGCCAGGCAAGAUGUGCCCACUGGCGUGAUAGUGGCAGGACUGUUAUGAGGUAACCAACUGCUUUCUGUUGCAUGCCUGGCCCCAAGCGGGGCAUUUAUGCCACUCCCUCCGAGGCUCAGGGAGCAUCGCAGAAGAGGGGUUGGAAAGAACGGAGGGUGGGGAGGAGUGUUGCAAAACCCUGUCUUCUGAACACACCCUGGACAUGGUACUUAUGACCAUACAGCAGCUCUGUUUGCCAGCACAGUGUCUGCACAACAUUGGGUGUGUCAGCUGUCCACUAUGGAUGGUGAAAGAGGUCAUGAUGCCUCACCCCUUCCUGAGGAGUUGUCAGUAAGUGGUUGGUGGGGGAGAAGUAAUUUUCUCUGGUGGUGUAGCCACUAGUAAACUGUCCAAACUUCAGUAAAUAACCCCUGACCCACACUUAUACAAGUAACCCUAAUUAAACUCUCUGUGUCAUAACACACACACAUAAACAUGAAAGUAGGAUAUGAGUUGGGAAGAAGAAAGGUUCAGUAGGAGGGAAAUAAGCUGGUAAUGCAGGGUGAAUAUGGUCCACAUAUAUGACACGCAUGUAUGAAAUAGGCUGGGGAAUGGCUGAGUGGAUACAGGACUCAGCACUGAACCUGGAGUACCUGAGUUUCAGUCCCCAGACCCCAUGAAGAAAGCCAUAGCUGCCAAGGUCUUCUGUAAUCCCAGUAGUGAGAUGGGAUGCAGAUGUAGGAGAAUUUUCCAGAAGUUCAGAGGAAGUGCAGCAAAGAAUAGCAGAGUGAGAAGCCACAGCAAGAAACCCUGCCUCAAAUGAGGUAGAAAGUCAGAGGACCUACUCGAAGGUUAUCAUCUGACUUCCAAAUGUAUGCUGUAGCAUUCACAAGUACUCAUGCACACACAGGAAUAUGCACACACAUGUAAACACACAAAUAAUUUUUAAUUCAAGCCAGGCAUGGUGGCGCAUGCCUUUAAUCCAAGCACUCUGGAGGGUAGGAGAAUCAUGGUGAUUUCAAGGUACCCUAAGACUACAGAGUGAAUUCCAGGUCCGCUGAGCAGAAAUUGAGAUGUUGGCUCACAUCUGUAAUCUCAUCAUGAGGGAGGUUGUGGCAGAAGUGUUGUCUUGAAUCCAAGGCCAGCCUGGGCUACAAAAUAUAAUCCUCUCUGAAGACAUCAAGCAACAACAGCGUCAAUUGUACCAGGCAGUGACAACUGUCACCACACCAUCUGUCACAUCGUCCAAACAGGAAAAUUCCAGGCAUCUCAGGUACUGAUCAUUCUUACGUCCAUUUUCAGUAUAUUCUCUAAACGUCUCCGGAUGCUUCCUGCGUGAGUUUAUCACUUUGUGCAUUUUCACUGACUGAAGAAAUACCAUUGGCAGAGACAGAAACUGGUCUUGACAGUCCUGGCAAGCCAUAGGAUACAGCAUUGGAUGUGUUCCUUAGAGAUCCCUGUCUAUCAAUGGGCUGGCUGUAAAUACUCUCACAGAAAACUGUGAUCUUCUGUAAAGACCAUUCAAAGACAUCCAAGGUCUUCAGAAGCUUGCUAUGCAAAGUGAUCGGGUCUUGUUGCAACUGCAAGGAAAUGGUCCAGAGGACCACUGAGUGCUCAAGAGGACGGCUGCUCUCUUCCCAUGUGGUUUCCCCAGCAUCAGGGUUCUCAUGCUGCCACCCACACGCGGAUUGUCUGUCACAAGACACAAGCCUAUCCAGGUGUGACCAUGAAAGUGCACGUGGUGCCUUCACCCCCUGCCAGCUUCCCCUCCCCCGCCAUCUCUGCAUGUCUGCAUUUCGUCGUGAGUAGCUUCAAGAUUGCUGUUAGGAAUUUCUUCAUCUCCUCUGACAAGGCGAUCCAAGUUGUUGUGGAUAUGGAACUGCAUUUCUAUCAACUGGGUAGGACCCAGUGACGUAAUUUG